AUAACGGUGACCGGUGCUUGAAGUACCUA
rnacentral:sRNA from 1 species